rnacentral:lncRNA from 1 species
AGCAAAGCUCAUUUACCUAGAAAAUUAGAUCCCAGGAAGGUUUGGGCCUUGUCUUCUUCUUACUGACUGAACAAUUUUUUUGGGGGGGGGGUGUCACGUGGAAGAGUCCUAACCAUCAGACGCUGGAUUUUGGAGCUCCGGACAUCAAAAUGUCUCCUUUUGAAAAUUAUCCAGUCAGGAAGAAGAAGACAAGGCCUAAACCUUCCUCCUGGGAUCUAAUUUUCUGGGUUGCUGCUGACAAAUCUAUCUAUUUGGGGCAAAUUGUCAGUGAGAAACUUCCGCUCGAACUCUUUGGGACAAAACUGGCUCUUUGAAAGGAUAAAUCCCAUUGCCUGAAGGCCUGAACAAUGGCCGAAUGUGUUGCUGUUGCCUUUGCCGCUACUGCUGCUGCUGCUGCUGGGGCUGGGCCUCUGACAAAGGGCGGAUUAAUUGGUGCCGUGGCUGACUGGUUCGAGAUGGCUCCACUCAGGGUGCGCUGCGGGGAGCCCCAUUGACUGGGCCCCGAGUCCCACUUUUCACAAACUCCAAACAAAAGUCAAUUUCUUUCUUAUAAGGCUGGGGAAAAGGAGAGAGGAGGGGUGGUGGGGGGAAAUUGCUCGGUGUUUGAGCUGGGGAAAGUGACUUGUUGGAUUAGAGGAUGUCAUGCUCUCCCUAGCUGUCUCUCUCAUGCUUUAAAGUUAGGGCUCCAAGAACUCCA